rnacentral:rRNA from 1 species
AGUGAAGCGGGAUGAAGCUCAAAUUUAAAAUCUGGCUGGUUUACUAGUCCGAAUUGUAGUUUAAAGAAGCGUUUUCGGUGGCAGUCUCGGUAUAAAUCCUUUGGAAUAGGGUAUCAUAGAGGGUGAGAAUCCCGUCUUUGACUGAGAAUUUGCUACUAUGUGAUACGUUUUCAAAGAGUCGAGUUGUUUGGGAAUGCAGCUCAAAAUGGGUGGUAAAUUUCAUCUAAAGCUAAAUAUUGGCGAGAGACCGAUAGCGAACAAGUACCGUGAGGGAAAGAUGAAAAGAACUUUGAAAAGAGAGUUAAACAGUGCGUGAAAUUGUUGAAAGGGAAACGCUUGAAACCAGUCAUGUGGUUGGAAAAUCAGUGUUCAAUUGGGGGGAAUGGGGGAGGUGUGGACCGCAAGGCUGCUCUUUUCUAUAUCUCUUUUGUUGGGCAUGCACUUUUUCUUCUGCAGGUCAACAUCAGUUUCUUUUGCUGGACAAAACUCUUGAGAAGGUAGCAGCUUAGGCUGUGUUAUAGCUCUGGAGCGAUACAGUGGAGGAGACUGAGGUUUUCGCAGCAUGUGCUCUCGGGCAAGGCCAGUUGGGUGCUAUGGGAUCGUUCGGGGUACAAUACAUGUAUUUUGCCUCGUGUCUUUUCUAUACUCGUUCAGUUGUGCUCUUCCAUGCUUAGGAUGUUGACUUAAUGGUUUUAAUCGACC